rnacentral:rRNA from 1 species
UACGUAGGGUGCAAGCGUUAUUCGGAAUUACUGGGCGUAAAGCGUGCGCAGGCGGUUGAGCAAGUCAGAUGUGAAAUCCCCGGGCUCAACCUGGGAACUGCAUUUGUGACUGCACGGCUGGAGUGCGGCAGAGGGGGAUGGAAUUCCGCGUGUAGCAGUGAAAUGCGUAGAGAUCGGGAGGAACACCAGAGGCGAAGGCGGCGACCUGGACAGUUACUGACACUCAACUACGAAAGCGUGGGGAGCAAACAGG